UACAGGUGGCGUCAAGCAUAUU
rnacentral:siRNA from 1 species